rnacentral:lncRNA from 1 species
CCUACCCGAUCCCCCCCCUCCCCCUCCUUCCCUUCCAAACACACCUUUCUCCAUUUGUGAGCACACAAAAUUUAAAAAAAAAAAAAAUGAUAUCUUCUUCUUCACUUUAUCUCUAAAUAAAAAUUUCUUCUUUUUCCACCAUUGAAGCAUUUUUUUCACUUUAUCUCUAAAAAAUUCUUUUUUUUUGCUACUGCAGCAGCCCUUCCCUUCCGAACAUUCUCCAUUUUGUUUGUUUAUAUUCUCAUUCAUCUUUUCUAUAUACUGAAUCUCUAGUCCCUGAUUAAGUCAUCGUCAAUGGUGGAUUAUGGAUCGGAUCCUCCCGGAUUCCGAUUAGGUAAAGUUAAUUUGUGCUUUCCUUUUUCAAAUAACCUAAUCGCUUGUUACUUAUGUACUUUUCCUAAAUGAUUUAACAAUUAAAUGACUACAGCUCACAGGUAUAAACAAACUUAGUGGAUGUUGAUUGAACUGUGAACGGAAAUAUAGAACAGAGAGGAUGAAUGACUGGUGUGAUGUUUGUGUUUUUUUAAUUGAUUGAAUUUACAAUUUAAUAAAUUUCUUAAAUAAUUGGAGAAGUUGCUAGUUGUUAGUUCUGAAGGAAUUAGAAUGAAAUUAUGAAUUCGGUUUGACGGAAUUAGAAUUGAAGUAUGGAGUUUUAUUCUUCGUGAGUCAUGACAUUACCUUCAUGAAAGAGUUGUUAGUAGCUGUGAUGGGCUAGAGUGAUAGGUGGUCUACGGCUGACCCUCUGGCCAAAGAAAUUUAGAAAAGAGAUGAAGAAGAAGUAACAAGAGAGAUUGGGGCAAUUUUUUCUCCCCCUUUCUGAAAGCUAACAUUACAAUUUAAAGGAAAAAUGUAAACUACUUCUAAUAAAAUAACUGCAAAUGAAACGUGGCCUAAUAACCAUAAAUGGAAACGUGGGCAUCCCCAUUAUCUCCUUUAUUUCCGCGCAACUACGUCUAAGACUAUUUCAAAGAAAGAGCACAACUACUUCUAAGACUAUUUUAAAGAAAGAAAUCCACCACCCAUUAGUUAGCAUCAUAACAAUCCACCCAACUUGAAAUCACCUUGUCCUCAAGGUGAAACUGAGGGUAAGUACGGGAAAAACGCCAUUUAUCUUCCCAUGUUGCAUCUUCCCUUGAUUGACCAACCCAUUUAACCAAAAUCUCUGUUUUUGGCCGAUAUUUCCCUUUCUGCACGACUCGUUCUUCCAAGAUACCCUCUGGUUGAGGUGCCACCUGUAACUGGACAGGUUCGUUGACAGGAGGUGGGAUCGGUUCCGGGACAGGGCCUUCUCUUUUCCGUAACAAACUCACAUGAAACACAUCGUGAAUUAAGGAACCAGGAGGUAAUUCAAUCCGAUAUGCAACCUUUCCUACCUUAGCAAGAAUUUUGUAAGGGCCAAAAAAACGCGGACUUAACUUAGCUGAUGUUCGGGAGACCACACUUGACUGUCUAUAUGGCUGUAGUUUAACAUAAACAUGAUCCCCUACCUCAAAUUCCAAUUCACGACGGCGUUGGUCCGCAAAAUGCUUCAUACGGUCUUGAGCUUUGAAGAGGUUGGCUCGUAAGGUUUUCAGCAUCCGAUCACGGUCUUGAAGGUAGUCUUCGACAGCUUGAACCUUAGUCGUUCCUGGAACAUACGGCAAGAUUUUUGGAGGCAGCCGUCCAUAAACAACCUGAAAAGGAAUCAGCUUGGUGGAAGUGUGAACUGAAGUAUUAUAGCUAUAUUCCGCCCACGGUAGCCAAUCCACCCAUUUUUUUGGCUUGUCACAAACAAAACAACGCAAGUAUUGUUCCAGAAUCCGAUUGACAACUUCUGUUUGUCCAUCCGUCUGCGGAUGAUAGCUAGAACUCAUGCAUAAAACCGACCCUUGCAGCUUGAAUAGAGCUUGCCAAAAGGAACUUAUGAAAAUUUUAUCACGAUCACUUACAAUGGUUGAAGGGAUACCAUGCAAGCGGACAACGUUGGCUACAAAAUCCCGAGCUACACUUGAAGCAGUAAAUGGGUGCCGCAUAGGAACAAAGUGGGCAUAUUUUGAGAGUCGAUCUACAAUCACCAUUAUCACUGUAAACCCGUUAGACGCAGGUAAUCCUUCCACGAAAUCCAUGCUAAUGUCCUCCCAAAUUCUGUCUGGAACCGGAAGUGGCUGCAACAACCCAGCAGGCUGCAUGGUGUCCGUCUUGGCUCGUUGACACUCAUGACAUUCCCGGAUAUAUCUUUUCACAAAAUCUUUCAUACCCAACCACCAAAAAUUGUGCUUCACCUUAGCAAGAGUUUUAUGAAAACCAAAAUGGCCUCCUUCGGGAGAGGAGUGACACAUAACCAGCACAGUGGAUAGAAGAGGAGAAUUGGAGCUUAACAAUAUAGCAUCAUUUCUAAACCAAACUCCAUCAUGCUUCACAAGGUUACCUUUAAAUUUAAUAGGCAAGGAUGAAGGUAAAUUCAAAUAAAAAGGGUCUGUGUGUACCUCUUCUUGAAUGGUGGUCCAAAUGGUGGAACAAGGAUGUGAAACAUUUAGAUAAUGAAACUCGGGCGUACGAGAGAGGGCAUCUGCGCCUUGGUUCAAACUUCCCUUCUUAUAUUCAAUUUUGUAGUCAAAUCCCAAAAGCUUGGGUAGCCAUCGGGACUGAACUGGGGUAGUGAUUCGUUGCUCCAUUAAAUACUUGAGACUGACAUGGUCUGUUUUCACCACAAAAGGUCGCCCCAGUAAAUAGUGUCGCCAUUUCCGAACUGCCUUUACAAUAGCUAACAUCUCCUUCUCAUAUGUAGACCAAGAUAACAUGAUUCCCUUUAAAGGAGCACUGAAAUAAGCCAAGGGUCUUCCACGUUGAGUGAGAAUAGCUCCUAUACCCACCCCACUCGCAUCACACUCCACAGUAAAUGGGUGAGACCAAUCGGGCAAAGCCAAAGUAGGAGGGGUUGUCAGGGCAAUCUUCAACUCCUGGAAAGCCACUUCUGCCUUUUCAUUCCAAAUAAAAGGGCCUUUGCCAACUAGUUUAUGCAAGGGGGCAGCAAUACUUCCAAAUCCCUUGAUAAACUUUCGAUAAUAACCCGCCAACCCCAAGAAACCGCGUACCCCUUUUGCGUUAGUUGGAGUAGGCCAUGAAAGUACAGCCUUAACUUUAUUUUCUUCAACCGCCACACCUCCCGAUGAUAUGACAUGCCCCAAAUAAUUAACUUGAGAAACUCCAAAACAACAUUUUGAGAGCUUGGCAAAAAGUUGAUUAGUAUUUAAUAAUCCCAAAGCAGUACGUAAAUGCCCAAGAUGAUCAUUCAAGGUCUUUGAAUAAAUAAGAAUAUCAUCAAAGAAUACCAAUAUAAACUUACGCAGGUAUGGCCUGAAAAUGUCAUUCAUUAAGCAUUGAAAGGUGGCUGGAGCAUUGGUGAGGCCAAAAGGCAUAACAACGAACUCAUAAUGUCCGUCAUGCGUUCGGAAUGCUGUCUUUGGAAUAUCAGUUUCCCGAACCCGUAUUUGGUGAUAACCAGCACGAAGGUCAAGCUUAGAAAAGAUCGUAGCACCAUAUAGUUCAUCGAGUAGCUCGUCUAUUACUGGAAUUGGGUACUUGUCCUUCACAGUGAUGUCAUUGAGAGCCCUAUAGUCCACGCAAAAACGCCAAGUGCUGUCAGAUUUCUUCACUAACAAGACCGGCGAUGAGAACGGGCUAUGGCUGGGGCGAAUUAACCCAUCACGCAGUAACCCCCUAACUUGUUUUUCAAUUUCCGUCUUUUGCAAAUAAGGUUGGCGAUAUGGCCGAGAGCUCACUGGUUUGGCUCCGGGAAUUAAGGGUAUGUCAUGGUCAUGGAAACGCCUUGGGGGCAAUUCUUUUGGCUCUUGAAAGACCUGCUCAUAUUCAGUUAAAACAUGUUGAACGGCUGGACAAGGACUUGAGGUAGAAGAAAGCUCCGAUUCGACCCGAUUAACCUGGAGAAGUAAGGCAAUACCCUGUAUUCCCAUCAACUCGUUAGCCUUUAAAGCAGUCAAAUCCGACCCCCGCAACCCUUGUAACUUAUGUGUUGAACCAGCCUGAUGGAAUCCAAGAGUGAGAUUCUGGAAGUCGAUUUCAAUAGGCCCCAAAGUCUUCAACCACUGAACGCCUAAGACAAUAGGACAAGCUGCGAUUGGCAGAACAAAAAAAUCGGUGGUUAUAGUGUAACCUUGAAUAAUGAUUGUAAGUCCGCGCACUCGUCCCACACAAGCUAACUUGUCACGGUUUGCGACGACCACUUCCAAUUUGACCCCAUUAUCCACCGUCAAUCCGAACCGCUCCACUAACGAUUGCUCGAUGAAAUUGUGGGUACUACCACCAUCAAUUAAGACCACCAAAUCUUUGUUAUGAAUUUUUCCAGGCAACCUUAAGGUUUGGGGAAGGAUGGUGCCGGUAAUUGCGUGGAAAGAAAUCUCAGCGGAAACCUCAUCAGGAGGGUUCUCAUUGGCUUCAUCCUCAUGGCUGCUGCUCUCUUCAACGUCAUCGACUUCACUGAUCAUGAAUAAUUGGGGCUUGGUGCACUUAUGACCCGGAAUGUAGCGUUCAUCACAGUAGUAACACAACCCCUUUUCCCGACGUUCUUUAGCCUCUGCUCCUGAUAAACGGCGAACUGGACUUGGGGCAGGUAAAGCUAGGCGUUGAGAUGGUGCUGGGCCUAAAAUUCCAGCAGAGUGUGGGCCUUUAGGUAGGGAAUUAAAACUGGUAACCCGAGGAGACGGAGUAACCCGCCGUUGCAAGUUCAAUUUCUCCUCAACCAACCUGGACAACCCCAUUGCAUCUGUCAUGGUGCGUGGCUUCUUGAGUUUCACCUCCAACCGUAUAUCUUCCUUCAGCCCACCUACAAAACAGCCAAGUAAGAAAGACUCCGGUAGGUUAUCAAUACGGUGUGACAAUCGUUCGAAAGCUUCAAUAUAAACUGCAACUGUGGUGAUCUGUUUGAGUCGAUGAAGGGAUUCUGAAGGGUCAUCAUAAUCAGUCGGCCCAAAACGACUCAGCAAAGCCGCGGUAAAUUCCCUCCAUGUCAUCGGACCUCGUGAUUUGGCAAACCACCGGUGCCACUGUAAGGCAAUACCGUCAAGAUGAAAAGAGGCAAGAUUGACCCGAUCUGUAUCAACGACGUUCUGAAAUUCAAAGUAUUGUUCAGCCUGAAAUAUCCACCCCGUAGGAUCAUCACCACUAAACCGAGGAAAAUGGAGUUUCAGGUAGGGUUUCCCUACAUUACCGAUUGUGGAUCCCUUGCCAGAGCCAGAAGGUUUGUCAGAAUCCUUCUCCUUAAUCUCCCGAACGUCUGUCACUAACUUGUGGAACAUGGCAGUGAGCUUUUCGAGAGUUUCAUUAGUGUGUUGCUGGAAUUGUUCGAGAGACUGCUUGCGUGUUUCCAUUGGAUCAAACCCGCUUUGAUACCACUGAUAGGUGGUCUACGGCUGACCCUCUGGCCAAAGAAAUUUAGAAAAGAGAUGAAGAAGAAGUAACAAGAGAGAUUGGGGCAAUUUUUUCUCCCCCUUUCUGAAAGCUAACAUUACAAUUUAAAGGAAAAAUGUAAACUACUUCUAAUAAAAUAACUGCAAAUGAAACGUGGCCUAAUAACCAUAAAUGGAAACGUGGGCAUCCCCAUUAUCUCCUUUAUUUCCGCGCAACUACGUCUAAGACUAUUUCAAAGAAAGAGCACAACUACUUCUAAGACUAUUUUAAAGAAAGAAAUCCACCACCCAUUAGUUAGCAUCAUAACAUAGAGCUGUUAUGUAAACAAUUGUACCCGCGUUGAUCUUCGUGGUUGGUUUGAUUUUUCUCCCCGACACACCAAAUUCUCUAAUUGAGCGUGGUAAAGAGGACAAGGUCAAAUCAAGACUGUUAAAAAUCAAGGAAAUUGACAAUGUUGAUGUUGAGUUUAAUGAUUUAGUUGAAGCUUCGUGUUGAGAAAACCAGUAAUCUCAAUCUGGCUUAAUUGAAGCUUCAAUUACCAUUAAUCUCAAUUACCAGAUUAAUUGCCGCAAAAAUGAUGUCUCUGAAGCCACUUUCUGAAAAUUGAGGUUCAUCUCACUCUACUACCAUCAGGUUUCCCGUAUGUUAAUCUUCUACUUUGAUUUUAUAAUUUUUAGUAAUUGUUAUUCCAUUAAAUGCAUUCUGUUUACUUUGAUUUGCCAUUUCCAAAUACUAAUUGGUGUUGUACUCGUUAAAGAUUUAUGGACUAUGAAAGAGGAAGAUGGUGGAGGUUUAAUAAGAUACAAUGGAGAAGAAGAUAUGGAGAAGAAAAUGAUGGUUAUUCUUUUUUUUUAUUUCUUUAAUGUGUCUUUUUUGAUUGGUUGGGGAUUUUUAUGUUUAUUUUUUUUAUUAAUUAUGGUUUCUCACUCUUCUAAUGGAGAGCGUAUUACACAUGUCACGCCAUGUCAAAGUCAUGUCAGCGAUUGUGCUUAAUUGACAUGGUUUAUAAAGGAGUAAAGGGUUCAAUAGGUACAUAACUUAAUUGAGGUGCCUAUCCGAAAAAAGUCGAAUAGUUCAGGAGCCUGUAUAUGUAUUCAGACAUCUAUUUUACAUCAACUACUAAAUUUUGCAAGAAUAAAAAAGUAAUUUUUGUUGGUGUGUGUGAUCAUUUCAUCUAAAAGCUUAAGAUGUCAGAGAGAACACAAUUUAAUUAUAUUCUCAAUACACCCCUUCACGUGCAAGCCUGGUUUUUUUCAUGGCCCAAGAAUUAUUUUGAGAUUUGAUCCCAAGACCUCUGCCUGGUUUGAUACCAUAUUGGUGUGUAUGAUCAUCUCAUCUAAAAGCUUAAGCUGUUAGAGAGAACACACUUUUAUUAUUUAAUUAUAUUUUCAACAAUGUUUAACUGACAAUUGACUAGUUUAGUACCAAAAUGGGUUUAGAAAAGUAAAAAAUAGGAGUUUAUAGUAGUAGGCAAGUAAACAUCAUAAUGGAGCCAGCUAGAGAGA